UUCUGCAAUUAUUUUCUCCACAAUAUCAGGAAUUUUAACUGAUUAUUCAUCCGUUGCCUGAUCAGUCUGCAUUUUACUUUUUAAGAGAAUGUUUGGUUUGAAAAAAUCUCCCUUGAAGAUUGGCAAGCAUAGCAAGGUUGACCCUGAAUAUACUGAUCCUCCUCGUUCUAACCCUUUUGAUUCUGAUGAGGAGUUGGACACAAACCCUUAAACCUCCAAGGAAAACUUCUUCAGAACCCAAUCUGACUGCACCAAAUGUUAGUUCCAAUCCUUUUGAUGAUGAUGAGGAAAGAGGGACAUCUUCUUCAUCUUUGUAUCCCCUCACUUCAGCAGCUUCAGCAGCCAGAAAUAAGUACAAGAAUGAUUUCCGUGA
rnacentral:misc_RNA from 1 species